rnacentral:rRNA from 1 species
AAUCCAUAGGUUAAUGAGGCGAACCGGGGGAACUGAAACAUCUAAGUACCCCGAGGAAAAGAAAUCAACCGAGAUUCCCCCAGUAGCGGCGAGCGAACGGGGAGGAGCCCAGAGCCUGAAUCAGCAUGUGUGUUAGUGGAAGCGUCUGGAAAGGCGCGCGAUACAGGGUGACAGCCCCGUACACAAAAGCGCAUGUGCUGUGAGCUCGAUGAGUAGGGCGGGACACGUGGUAUCCUGUCUGAAUAUGGGGGGACCAUCCUCCAAGGCUAAAUACUCCUGACUGACCGAUAGUGAACCAGUACCGUGAGGGAAAGGCGAAAAGAACCCCGGCGAGGGGAGUGAAAAAGAACCUGAAACCGUGUACGUACAAGCAGUGGGAGCCCCACCACCAAAGCAUUUGCUGUACCGCG